rnacentral:rRNA from 1 species
GAUGAACGCUGACAGAAUGCUUAACACAUGCAAGUCAACUUGAAUGUGGGUUUUUAACUUAGGUUUGGGUGGCGGACGGGUGAGUAACGCGUAAAGAACUUGCCUCACAGCUAGGGACAACAUUUGGAAACGAAUGCUAAUACCUAAUAUUAUGAUAAUAGGGCAUCCUAUAAUUAUGAAAGCUAUAAGCGCUGUGAGAGAGCUUUGCGUCCCAUUAGCUAGUUGGAGAGGUAACGGCUCACCAAGGCGAUGAUGGGUAGCCGGCCUGAGAGGGUGAUCGGCCGCAAGGGGACUGAGGCACGGCCCUUACUCCUACGGGAGGCAGCAGUGGGGUAUAUUGGACAAUGGACCGAGAGUCUGAUCCAGCAAUUCUGUGUGCACGAUGAAGUUUUUCGGAAUGUAAAGUGCUUUCAGUUGGGAAGAAACAAAUGACGGUACCAACAGAAGAAGUGACGGCUAAAUAC